AAAAGGUUCAAGGAAAUCGUCUCCUCCUUCCUCAAUCGCUUCCGCUAUGGAUCGCCAAGGAAAACUUAUGAAGGAUCUCAUGAGCAUGCAAUAUGAUGGUUCUCGGACUAUGUACGAGCAUGUGAUGGAAAUAAAUAACAUCUCUUCUAAGCUGGAAAAGUUAGGAUUAUAGGUGGAUAAGGAUUUCAUUGUUCAAUUCAUCCUAACUUCCUUAUAUCCUCAGACCAUUCCAAAUUGAUUCACUAUAAAAGAUUAGUGGACUCUUAAAGAAUUGGGAAACGUAUUGGUCUAGGAGGAGCAUAAGAUGAAGAAGUAUGGAAUGGGUGCAUCUCAUGCUCAUAUUGCAACCGAAGGAGCGUCUAAAGGAUAAUAUUCAUUCGAAUUUAUCAUUCUUAUGGCAUAAA